UGGGGAAUAUUGGACAAUAGGCGAAAGCCUGAUCCAGCCAUGCCGCGUGUGUGAAGAAGGUCUUCGGAUUGUAAAGCACUUUAAGUUGGGAGGAAGGGCAUUAACCUAAUACGUUAGUGUUUUGACGUUACCGACAGAAUAAGCACCGGCUAACUCUGUGCCAGCAGCCGCGGUAAUACAGAGGGUGCAAGCGUUAAUCGGAAUUACUGGGCGUAAAGCGCGCGUAGGUGGUUUGUUAAGUUGGAUGUGAAAUCCCCGGGCUCAACCUGGGAACUGCAUUCGAAACUGACUGACUAGAGUAUGGUAGAGGGUGGUGGAAUUUCCUGUGUAGCGGUGAAAUGCGUAGAUAUAGGAAGGAACACCAGUGGCGAAGGCGACCACCUGGACUAAUACUGACACUGAGGUGCGAAAGCGUGGGGAGCAAACA
rnacentral:rRNA from 1 species